UGCUGCAUGGCUGUCGUCAGCUCGUGUCGUGAGAUGUUCGGGUUAAGUCCCGCAACGAGCGCAACCCCUAUCUUUAGUUGCCAUCAUUGAGUUGGGCACUCUAAAGAGACUGCCGGUGUCAAACCGGAGGAAGGUGGGGAUGACGUCAAGUCCUCAUGGCCCUUAUGGGUAGGGCUUCACACGUCAUACAAUGGUGCAUACAGAGGGUUGCCAACCCGCGAGGGGGAGCUAAUCUCAGAAAAUGCAUCGUAGUCCGGAUCGUAGUCUGCAACUCGACUACGUGAAGCUGGAAUCGCUAGUAAUCGCGGAUCAGAAUGUCGCGGUGAAUACGUUCCCGGGUCUU
rnacentral:rRNA from 1 species